GAUGAACGCUGGCGGCGUGCCUAAUACAUGCAAGUCGAGCGAACAGACGAGGAGCUUGCUCCUCUGACGUUAGCGGCGGACGGGUGAGUAACACGUGGAUAACCUACCUAUAAGACUGGGAUAACUUCGGGAAACCGGAGCUAAUACCGGAUAAUAUAUUGAACCGCAUGGUUCAAUAGUGAAAGACGGUUUUGCUGUCACUUAUAGAUGGAUCCGCGCCGCAUUAGCUAGUUGGUAAGGUAACGGCUUGCCAAGGCAACGAUGCGUAGCCGACCUGAGAGGGUGAUCGGCCACACUGGAACUGAGACACGGUCCAGACUCCUACGGGAGGCAGCAGUAGGGAAUCUUCCGCAAAGGGCGAAAGCCUGACGGAGCAACGCCGCGUGAGUGAUGAAGGUCUUCGGAUCGUAAAACUCUGUUAUUAGGGAAGAACAAAUGUGUAAGUAACUAUGCACGUCUUGACGGUACCUAAUCAGAAAGCCACGGCUAACUACGUG
rnacentral:rRNA from 1 species